AUUGAACGCUGGCGGCAGGCUUAACACAUGCAAGUCGAGCGAGCGGCGGAAGGGUGAGUAAUGUCUGGGAAACUGCCUGAUGGAGGGGGAUAACUACUGGAAACGGUAGCUCAUACCGCAUACCAUCAGAUGUGCCCAGAUGGGAUUAGCUAGUAGGUGGGGUAAUUGCUCACCUAGGCGACGCUCCCUAGCUGGUCUGAGAGGAUGACCAUCAACACGGGAACUGAGAAACGGUCCAGACUCAUACGGGAGGCAGCAGUGGGGAAUAUUGCACAAUGGGCGAAAGCCGGAUGCAGCCAUGCCGCGUGUGUGAAGAAGGCCUUCGGGUUGUAAAGCACUUUCAGCGAUGAGGCGUGACUCGCAGAAGAAGCACCGGCUAACUCCGUGCCAGCAGCCGCGGUAAUUC
rnacentral:rRNA from 1 species